rnacentral:rRNA from 1 species
UACGUAGGGGGCGAGCGUUGUCCGGAUUUAUUGGGCGUAAAGAGCGUGUAGGUGGCUAGGUAGGUCUCGCGUCAAAACCUGCGGCUCAACCGCAGUCCGCGUGGGAAACCCCCUGGCUUGAGUCCGGAAGAGGAGAGCGGAAUUCAUGGUGUAGCGGUGAAAUGCGCAGAUAUCAUGAAGAACACCAGUGGCGAAGGCGGCUCUCUGGGACGGUACUGACACUGAGACGCGAAAGCGUGGGGAGCGAACAGG